rnacentral:rRNA from 1 species
CAAUAGCGUAUAUUAAAGUUGUUGCGGUUAAAAAGCUCGUAGUUGGAGUUCUGCCAGGUGCCGCCUGUCCGCCCCAGUGGUGAGUACGUGGCGCGCAUUUGGCCCUUUCAAGGGGAGCGUAUCUGCACUUUAUUGUGUGGUGCGGGAUCCUUGACUUUUACUUUGAGGAAAUAGGAGUGUUCCAAGCAGGCUCUCGUCGUGCACAGCUCAGCAUGGAAUAAUAGCAUUGGACCUCGAUUCUAAGCUGUUGGUUGCCAGAAGCGAGGUAAUGAUGAAGAGGGAUAGUUGGGGGCAUUCGUAUUUAACUGUCAGAGGUGAAAUUCUUGGAUUUGUUAAAGGCGGACUACUGCGAAAGCAUCUGCCAUGGAUGUUUCCAUUGA